AUGCCGAUGCCUGGAACAUUCUUCGUCCGUUUCUCGCAUCGCCAGUGGUUUGACCUGGUGGUGACGGCGCCAUUCAUACACUUCAGAGGCACGCCGUUGCUCAGUAGGCGGUGGAACAGGUUCACCUUCGCCACCUCUCACCCCUGCCGCUACAGCGUCCGCCUCUUCAUCGAGGGCGUGCCAAAGGAAAACUGGUGUGUCGAAGCCGUUCAAUCCAUGCUCCCGGAGUGCUUGAUCUACCAGGUCGCGGCGGAGACCCAUGAGAAGACGGACAUGUCCUACUUCGUCGUCCGAGCCUGGGUCGAGGACCCUGGCCUAGUCCCCACCGAAUCCAUCUUCGUUCUGCGCGACAAGAGAGCCUGCACCGACCCACACUCUCAUGGGUCCAUGCCCCCCGGCAUGGGACGCGAUGGAGAUGGACCGGCGAGCUGCGACUGCAUCGAGCUGGUGCCACGGGUGCUGCACAAACCGGCAAUUGUGCAUGUCGACGCAGUCGCCUUCUACCCCCCUGCUCCGGAUGGCGACCGAUGGACGGGGCCAAACGCCGACGACGACACCCACGGCGAAGACCCGCAGCCUGAGGAACUCCCCCGUUCAUGGGCGCAUGCCGUCCCCGACGACCGCUACCGCGGCCAUCCAGACUCAUCCCUCUCGCUGUCCGCUCGCCGACGCCGUCGCGGCGCUGACCGCACCUACUCCGGGCGCUACCAUCGAGUACCUGGCACGCCACAACCACCCAGGCUCGUGCGCUGCCCAGUGCGGGCGGGCACGCCGACACCGCAAGCAGAGGGCGCCACACAAGACGUAACGGUGCAGCACGCGGGACGGGCGAUGGGAGAGGCGCAUGUUGAUGGCGACGGCGACGCCGUUCCGCCAGCCAACGACGCGGCGCUGCCUGCGGUGGGCCACGCCACGGACAUGCUGCCCUGUGGAGAGGCUGCAGCGCACCUGGUGGGCCAUGCAGACACGCUGAGCGCCCUGCUGGCAGACAAGAGUUUGGGGCCGGCGUCGACCCCCAUGUCGCUGCUGCAACAGCACGCUGACCAGGCUGAGGUCCACCGUGCCAGCCACCAGGUGGCAGAAGGACAGAGCAUGCAGUCGCCCACUUCCUCUCCGCUGAUGACUGGAGCCAUCACGGCGCCCGACAUGCCGGAUCCCAGGCUGCCGCAUGCCACAUCUGGAGACCACGCGCAGGAGGACACAUGCAUGCAUGCAGGGGAGGGGCGCGCCUUGCCAAGAGAAGACCACCAGCCUGCAGGGGGGCAGAGCAACACCCCCAUGCAGGCCAAUGACGGGUUGGGCCCGCAGUUGGGUCUCGGGGAGGAAAUACGCAGGAACGAGAACAACAACGCAUCGGCUGUAGCGCUGCAGACGGAGCCCACGCUCCAUAGCACAGACCCACCCGUGCCCCUCACGCCUGGGUCAAACACUGCAGGAUUUUUCAACAGCAUCCGCGCGCCGAUCGCCCCGCCGCUGCUACCGACGCCUACCACCGCCAACAAGAACAAGAGGAGUAACACCAGAACCCCAGGAACGGCGACGAGGAGGAGCAACAGGCUGCAGGGGAAGAAGAAGCUCCUUGCAGGUGAGAAGAGCUCCAUCAUGCGUCAGGCGAGACGCCUCGUCAUGUCCAAGAGAGGCCUAGCCAUCCCAGACCAAGGGGAAGCCGAGGAAGAGCGUUUGGAACAGUAUGCCAGGGCUUUUGAUGAGCCACUCUCCCCUGAGCAAAUAAGCGCGCUCUCGGCUCUUGCAAAGACAGGGAAGAAACUGAAGCCGGCGGCGAAGGCACAUGCCUGA
rnacentral:rRNA from 1 species